GUGUCAGUCAAGGAGAGCUCAUUAAUAUAAGCUCCCCGACACACAGCCUGUUCAUUCAGGCUUCCUGAUUGUUAGAGAUGAGAGAAAAGCCAGAACCCUGGUUGCCUCUGCCAGGAGGCUGACACUUUGUCUAGGACGCAGACCUCCAUCCUUCUUCUUCACAAAAAAGAAACUCGAGGAGGCGGGUGAAGUGGAGGACCGAAUGAUAAAAUUCCCAGCUGCGCCUGAAUUUCUCAGGUGUAUCUAGAACAUAGGGACACAAUCUUGGAGAAACAAAGGAGACCUCUGUAACGGCUGUCUAUGGAAGAAGUGGACCAAAAUGCGGCGGAGUUAGGGUUCGUCAUAUUUAAUACACGAACACUAUGCAUUUCACAAAAACAACAAAAACUGACAGCCAACACAGUCCUGUCAGGUGCAACCACAAUGACAAGAACAAUUACCCACACCACACAAAGGAAACGUAGGCAACUUAUGUGUGACUCCCAAUCAACCACAACCCUCUACAGCUGUGCCUGAUUGGAAGUCACACGGCCAAAAUCAAUGAAACAAUAAAACACUCACUCCCUUCUGCCACGUCCUGACCCAACUACACCCUCUACUGGUCAGGACGUGACAACCUCAUACAAAUGGCAGAAUAAAAUGUGACCCCAUUUGGUCCGACCCCAAAUGUGACCCCAUUUGGUGCAUUUGGUGCACAUUUCAGCACUUAAGGAGUUGAUGAAAACUAUAGCAAAUUUUCAGCGCUAUCUAUUUUCACUUGCAUUGUUCUUUAGUGGAGAAUAAUUACUUGUGCGUGAGCGAGAUCUUGUAAGCAAAAAUAUGUCACUCUGCUUCCCAAAUGGCACCUUACUCCCUAUAGGCCCCCAUAGGGCACUGGUCAAAAGUAGUGCACUGUAUAGGGAAUAGGUUGCAAUUUGAGACUGAGACACUAGCUACUAGAAACUACGCUUCUGGAAUCCACUGGGUAAAGAUGUUGUGGAGAAUUAGAGAAGCAGCCAGUGCUGGUGACAGUUAAGUGGCUGGAAGAAGCUGUCAGAGCGAUGGGGCUUUCAUGACACAUCAGUGAGGUUGUGCACCAUGUUAUAUAGAAAAGUCUCCAUUGUUUGUUCUUUGGACCCAACGGCUGAUUUGUGUGCGUGCGUACAGAUGUUCAUUCAUGCCUAUGUGUAUUUGUCUGCCCGCUUUUAUGUGUGCUCAUCUGUGUGUGGGCGCAUGUGUACGUGUGUGUGAUUAUGCUGUCGAUAGUGUAAUCUUCUGCAUUAGGGAGCUCAGAGAAUGAAUAAUUCAUCAAUAUGCCAGCACAUCCAUCUCCAAUGUGUUGCAGCACGUGUGCUUAGCUAUGCUGAUUAGGUGACAUGGGCAUGUAUUGCACCACCACCAAAGCAGUGAAGUGCUCCACAUUAGUAUAUGUCUCCGAGCCAUGUAUUGGAAGACGUAAAAUAAUUAACUAUUUACGUCCAUGGGAGGCAGAGUUAAAUGAAUUCAAUUAAGUGAGCGCAGACUCCGAGCAGAGUGUUUAGAGGCAUGGAUGAAAAAUAAAUCAUUAUGACAAGUUAAGCGCAGCCUCAACGUCUCGUGUUGUCCCCGCCAGGUUAAAUCACAGAAUGGACAAUGUCAUUUUCAUGUGUGCAUUACACACUGAACAAAAAUAUGAAUGAAAAAUCUAAAGUGUUGGUCCCAUGUUUUAUGCCAGACAUUUUCCAUACGUACAAAAAGCUAACAGUGUGUCCCUCAAAUUUUGUGCACAAAUUUCUUUACAUCACUAUAACGAGCAUUUAUCCUUUGCCAAGAGAAUCCAUCCACCUGACAGGUGUGGCAUAUUAAACAUCAUGAUCAUUACACAGGUGCACCUUAUGCUGGAGACAAUAAAAGGCCACUUUAAAAUGUGCAGUUUUGUCACACAACACAAUGCCAAGUAUGUCUCAAGUUUUGAGGGAGCAUGUAAUUGGCAUGCUGACUGCAGGAAUGUCCACCAGAGCUGUUGCCAGAGAAUUGAAUGUUAAUUUCUCUACCAUAAGCUGCCUCCAACGUCGUUUUAGAGAAUUUGUCAGUACGUCCAACCGGCCUCACAACCGCACACCAUGUGUAACCACACCUGCCCAGGACCUCCAUAUCCGGGGUUUUCACCUUCGUCGCAUGAGGGGCGGGGGGAUGCUAAGGAGUAUUUCUGUCUGUAGAAAAACAAUUUUGUGCGGGAAAACUCAUUCUGAUUGGCUGGGCCUGGUUCCCCAUUGGGUGGGCCUAUGCCCUCCCAGACCCACCUAUGGAUGCACCCCUGCCCAGUCAUGUGAAAUCCAUAGAUUAGGGCCUAAUAAAAUAAUGUUAAAUUGACUGAUUUCCUUAUAUGAACAGUAACUCAGUAAAAUCUUUGAAAUUGUUUUUUUUAUGUAUAAAAGUUUCUACUGGACAGUAUGAGCUGCAUUUAGUUGUUUUAGACUCAUCAUAUAUACAUUGGUCAGAUAAUGCAUAGCUGACAUCAAUGUCUUAUCAUGACUGGCAACUAACACAAUUUGUAAGGACAGACACUGGGAGACGAGAAGCAAGUACAGGGAGAGAACAUUUAAUAAACAACGGACAUGAAACAGAACACGGACAGCGUCUGGAAAGGGGAAACAAAACAACAUUAACCUGUUGGGGCUAGGGGGCAGUAUUUGCACGGCCGGAUAAAAAACGUACCCGAUUUAACUUCUCUAGGGCCAGUGGGACGAUUUCGUCCCACCUACGUAACAGCCAGUGGAAUCCCGUGGCGCGUUAUUCAAAUACCUUAGAAAUGCUAUUACUUCAAUUUCUCAAACAUAUGACUAUUUUAC
rnacentral:lncRNA from 1 species